AUUUUAACAUUUGCAUUACACUUGUGAGCAGGAAAACAUUCUUGGUUUUGCCGAGGAAGCCGAGAGCAUCGUACAAGGCAAGAAAUACGAAGCCCGUUCUCAUUUACUGCAACUGUCAACUCAGUUUUCCACUGAAUUGUAUCAAACCGAAGGCAAUCACGACGACGCGCUGCUGGCAAAACGCACGUGAAAGAUCACAUUUGUAGUUCUAGUCGACCAGAUGAACCAAGACUACUUGAAAUCGUAUAAAGAGAUUAAAUACUGUUGGAGUUGUGAAAAGAAAACGCCACCGACGACGGUCGUCUAUUAUCCAUGCUAUUGCAAGAUUUGUGGUGAUUGUGCAAAUGAAGACGAAAAACAGGGAACUGUGGGCGUCUGCCCGAUCUGUGGACAAGAGUCUAGGCGAAUGGUUUAGAACGAACCCUGCUUCUUGUGCUGAUGUGUAAAACAUUGAGAUUAAUUAAAUAACUAGACCAAGUGACGGACGGGGCGUGUGCGUCCUGGUUCGUAUCGAACUUUAAUUGUCACUUUCUUUGGCAGACUUAGUUGUCAAAUCUAUAGCUAAUACAACAAGGAAAUAAGAUCUGUAAGCAUUGCUUUUGUCUAAACUUGUAUGUAAAAAAUUUUCUACAAUUUCUUUGCAA